rnacentral:lncRNA from 1 species
GUGCGUUCCCUGAGUGAGCGCUGUGGCAGCAGAGACCACCUGCAAGUGUUCACGCUAAAUCCGACCAGGGCCUCAGAUGCCUGGGAGAGGAUCCGAGAUCAUCAGAGAGGGAGUGGGAGUCCCAGGAGGAGCGGCCCGGGUUGGCGGCGCUUGGGGCUGCCUUGGCGCCGGCUUGCGUUGGGGCGUGGAACUCCCCAGCGAAGUGAGCUUUCACCCGCUGUGCUUCGAGACGCUACCCCUAGCAGAUCCCCGGUCUGACCAGAGACUCGCUCCGUCUUCCUGCAGGAGGGACGGCGGCCCCACCACGUGAGAACAGAGCUGCCCGACAUCUGGAAAGCAGAGCCCCAGCUCAGCGAACAUCUGGAGCGCUAAUCGAGGCGGGCUCCCGGAAGGGUCGGGGUAGCGAGGUGAAAGGACUCGGCUCUGGGGACUCAGACGCCUGGCCCCGGCGCCCCUCACUGGGACACGGCCGGCGUCCGCCUUGGCUGGGCGCUGAGCGCCGUCCGCCCUGCCGCGCCCUCGCAGUCCG